rnacentral:rRNA from 1 species
GGGUACUUGUACCUGGUGGCGAGCGGCGGACGGGUGAGUAAUGCCUAGGAAUCUGCCUGGUAGUGGGGGAUAACGCUCGGAAACGGACGCUAAUACCGCAUACGUCCUACGGGAGAAAGCAGGGGACCUUCGGGCCUUGCGCUAUCAGAUGAGCCUAGGUCGGAUUAGCUAGUUGGUGAGGUAAUGGCUCACCAAGGCGACGAUCCGUAACUGGUCUGAGAGGAUGAUCAGUCACACUGGAACUGAGACACGGUCCAGACUCCUACGGGAGGCAGCAGUGGGGAAUAUUGGACAAUGGGCGAAAGCCUGAUCCAGCCAUGCCGCGUGUGUGAAGAAGGUCUUCGGAUUGUAAAGCACUUUAAGUUGGGAGGAAGGGCAGUUACCUAAUACGUAUCUGUUUUGACGUUACCGACAGAAUAAGCACCGGCUAACUCUGUGCCAGCAGCCGCGGUAAUACAGAGGGUGCAAGCGUUAAUCGGAAUUACUGGGCGUAAAGCGCGCGUAGGUGGUUCGUUAAGUUGGAUGUGAAAUCCCCGGGCUCAACCUGGGGAACUGCAUUCA